rnacentral:tRNA from 11 species
GGGCCUUUAGCUCAGUUGGUAGAGCGCCACGUUUACACCGUGGAUGUCAUCGGUUCGAGCCCGGUAGGGCCCACAA